GGGAGCGUGCGAUGUUGGCAUGGUUCAAUCAAAUCGGGUGAUCUUUGCCCUUGUGAUGAGGUGGUGGUGUCUUCCUUUGAUCUGAUUGAGCCGUGCCAAUAUCACAAACUUCCUA
rfam:Setaria italica strain Yugu1 chromosome IX, whole genome shotgun sequence.